rnacentral:misc_RNA from 1 species
UUGGUGAGGGAGCAAGGAUGGUUCGUGAGUUAUUCCAGAUGGCACGCUCAAAGAAGGCUUGCAUUGUAUUUUUUGAUGAGGUUGAUGCCAUAGGUGGUGCGCGUUUUGAUGAUGGUGUGGGAGGAGACAAUGAGGUCCAGCGUACAAUGCUUGAAAUUGUGAAUCAGCUUGACGGAUUUGAUGCCCGUGGAAACAUUAAAGUUCUUAUGGCCACAAACAGGCCUGACACUCUAGAUCCAGCACUACUACGUCCUGGACGAUUAGAUCGUAAGGUUGAGUUUGGCCUUCCAGAUUUGGAAAGUAGAACACAGAUAUUUAAGAUUCAUACACGAACAAUGAACUGUGAAAGGGAUAUCCGAUUUGAGCUUUUGGCUCGGCU